GACCGCGUAGCUCAGUUGGUAGAGCAUUGGGCUAGUAUUCCAAAGGUCGUAGGUUCGAUUCCCACCGUGGUCA